UAUGCUUUUUUCAUUAAAAAAUUAUCUUUGUUUAAUGGUGAAUAGUUUAUAUUGCUAAUAGUUUAUAUUACUAAUUUUUUUUUCCUGCAAUGUAUAAUCUGCUAUUAAUCCCACCCAGUGUAUUAUUCAUCUCAUCCAUGGUAGCUUGCAUCUCUAGAAGUUAAAUUUGUGUCUUUUUUUUUUUUUUUUUUUUUUUUUUUUUUUUUAAUUAAUAUUUUUAUUUAUUUAUUCAUGAGCGACACAGAGAGAGAGAGAGAAGAAGAGACACAGGCAGAGGGAGAAGCAGGCUCCAAGCAGGGAGCCUGAUUUGGGACUCAGUUCUGGGUCUCCAGGAUCACACCCUGGGCUGAAGGCGGCGCUAAACCGCUGAGUCACCAGGGCUGCCCCGGGUCUUUUUAAAACUAUUUUUAUUUCUCCACGUACCAUUAAAAUAUGGAACACAGCUAUAAUUUUUCAAGCACUUUUCUUUUAAUUCCAACAUUGGUGUCAGUUCUGAGUUGGUUUCAAUUGUUUUUUAUAUAGUUUUCUUCACUAUGGGUUGUACUUUCCUGCAUGCCUUAUAGCCCUUGAUUAGAUGUCAGGCACUGUGAAUUUUACCCUGUUAGAUGCGGGAUAAUUUUGAAGUUCUAUAAAUAAUUGAGUUUUAUUCUGGGAUGCAGUUAAGUUGCUUGGAAAUGGUUUGAUCCUUUUUAGCCUUUCUUAUAAGACUUGUUAGGUGGAAACCAGAGUAGUGUUUACUAUAGAGUUAAUUAUUCCCCACACCUGAAAGUAGGCCCUUCUGGGCACUUUACUCAAUUGUGAUAUUCUUCUGGUGUGGUUUGUGGGAACAGGCACUAUUCCCAGCACUGUGUGAGUUCCCUCUAAUCCUUUUUGAUAGGUUGUACCACCCUUGGGUAGUUUUUUCACAUGUGUACACUGAUCAGUACUCAGCUGAGCACCUGAGUGGGUCCCUCUGCAGACCACCACUGUUCUCUCAUUAGGCAUUGGUCCCUCUCUAAAUCAUAGCUGCCUUGGUCUCCCUUCACUUUCAGCUCCAUCUAUUCCACUCAGUGAGUUCACUGGGUUUCCACUCUCUGCACUGCUGCCUGAAAACUCUCUCAAGGCCAGAAGCUGGAGCAAAUCAUAGGCCUCACUCAUUUGCUCCCCGUCUCUUAGGGCCAUUGUUCUUCCAUAUCUGAUGUCUAGUGUCUUCAAAACCACAGCUGCAUGUAUAUUCUCUCUCUCUCUCUUUUUUCAGAUGAAAAGGUAAAAGUAAUACUUGUUACUCUAUAAUAGCUGGAAGUCAUUAAUUUAAGGAGAUUUAAACAAGAAGAAGAGUAUUUCUUAUUUUGCCACAUAGUUGCAUUUUUAGGGCUCUACUUUCUAUUGUGUGGAUCCAUAUGUCCAUCUAGUGUCAUUUUUCUUCGAUUGAAAGAAGAUUCUUUAACACUUCUUGUAGUAUAGGCCUGCUGGUUAUGAACUCUUUUGACUUUGGUAUGCCUGAAAAAGUCUAUUUUGCCUUUGUUUUUGAAAUAUAUUUUCAUGUUUCUUCUCAGAAAACAAUCCAUCACAACAAUAAGAAACAGAAACACAAAAUCCAUCUUUGAUGAUUCCACAAGAUCUUUGUAUCCUUGAACCACAACACAUGAAAAUAGAAUGCAGAUGGUGGAAUAACAGUGAUGAUGAAGAUGUAGCACAUGUUAAAUAAUGUUUAUUAUGUCAGACACUAGUAUCUGUCAGAGGCUUAGCAAGCUUUGCAGCAGAUUCAAAUUAGGUUAAUUCAAGGAGGACUUCAUAAAGGACUUAUGCACUUGUGGGCAGGGUAUAGAAACAAUGCAGUCUCCUACGGCUAGUGACAGUAGGCUGGUACCAUCCUAGGCUGGCAAGCUUAAUGGGAACUCAGAGAGGACUCCUUGAGGGGAGUUGUGAAUUCAUGUCAAGAGAUGCAGUCAGACCGAGGCAUUCUUCAAGAGGGCUGGAGGAAUAAAUACUCUAACCUCACUUGCUGCCCUCUCUGAUGUCAUGCAAGGACUCCCCUCUGGUCAGAAGCUACAAGCAAGAGAGCCCAUUGAAGUACAUGCAAGUCCCACAGGCACAGUAAAGGAAGAAUCAGGUUAGGGAGUGGCUUUGGAGAGGUAAAUGAAGAGAGAGAACAAAAUAUAAGGAAAUGAAAAGUAGGAAUAAAGGGAUAAGGAUUUUGAAAACCAAUCAAGAAUAAGAGACCAAAUCCACAAGGUUCAAAAUCUCUUUCUGGGGUUGCUGAAAGAAAGAAAGAAAGAAAGAAAGAAAGAAAGAAAGAAAGAAAGAAAGAAAGAAAGAAAGAAAGAAAGAAGAAAGAAAGAAAGAAAGAAAGAAAGAAAGAAAGAAAGAAAGAAAGAAAGAAAGAAAGAAAGAAAGAAAACAAAACAGAAAAUUGUGGGAAAGAAAAUACCAAAGAAAAAAUACAAAAAAAUACUCUGGAUUUGCUGGAUUGAGAAGACAACUUAUCCCUCUUUCAAUUAUUCAGUACAAUGAAUGAAAAAGGCCAAUGCCAUACUUUUGAGAAAUUUCAUAAUGCCGUAUGUAAAUUUAAAAGUAUUAAAUAACAACAAUGAAAACUAUUAUCUCUUAGUUUUCAAAGUGAUUUCAUAUUCACUAUCUCACUUUUUUAAAUGGUCUGAAGGUUUAAGGUGUCUCUUCACAGACACGGAAACAGAUACAGUGAAUACAACACUUGCAGGAUGAUAUUCUUCAAACCUUUCACAGACGAGUAGCAUAGCUCAUUAACAUUUAAGUGUGUCUGUGUGUGAACACAUAUGUGUCAAUGGACCAGUCAUUUUGAAUGCCCAUCCCGUUUCCUGAACUAGAUGAUCAGCUUUCAAAGUCAUGAAGCAUGGUUUCCAAUUCCUCGCUAUGCUCUCCAGGUCAGUUGAAGAAGUGCUUAGUCUGGGUGAAUCUACACAACCGACUAAUGUGCCUACCAAGCCUGGAGGAAGAAGGUGUGACACUAUGAGCAGCGAUUGUUUUGCAGCUUGUUUGCAUGAAGGCAUAGUAGGUGCAGUGAAUAUAGUCACCUUUUCUCAUUGUGUGUUCCUAUGAACAAGGUUUUAAAUCUUCAUGAUCUUCAGAUUCUUUCUGGUAGGUUUGGGCUUGAGUCACCCUCUUCAAAUUCCCUUUCAAUGCGAUAAUUCCAGCAUUCUGUCAACAAACAAAGACAGUAUGAGUUAAAUGAACCAACUGCAUCAGUGAGAAGGGGUGUCCAGUGUGGGUUCUCUGUAGCCAAGGGGAGUCAGGUGGGGAAAUGGCUCAAAUAAAACUGUGUGAUCAAAUCUCCCUAAGAGUUCUCAGGCUUUU
rnacentral:lncRNA from 1 species